rnacentral:lncRNA from 1 species
AUGCAUGUUGAGCACUUGCUAGUAUGUGCUGCUUACAAAGAGAAGCCUGAAGGAUACAGGACCCCAAUGGGACCCAGGCCCCCAGGACCAGCCUUGCAAACACAACAAUCAGAGUGGCCCCAGCUAACAAUGUACGCCCUGGAAUCUUGGGAUUGGAGGAAAUCACAUGGGCCACUGAGUCCUCUCACCAGGUACUUUCAGAUGCCAACAGAUGCCAACCCACCAAGAGAUGUUCUGGAAGGUAUCAUUCAUCCUGCAUCCAACGACACAGAGAGCACUGGUCCAGGAGCCAGAAUACCGUGGUUCUGGUUCAGUUACGCAACUACUGUGGGCAAGCAGACUCUUCAAGCCCUGGAUUCUCAGCUACUGUUCCCUCCUAACAAAUGUGGGUUAAAUUAA